rnacentral:lncRNA from 10 species
UAAAGAAUCAGAAGAAUUCUAGCACAUCCAAAAAUUGCUACACCAAUGAAAAUGACUUAUGUUAUUUAAACUGUUGAAAUCCUAGCCACUCAACUGUUUCUUCAAAUGAAAUCUUAUGGAGGAAGUCAAAUGUAAGAGAAGCUUCACUGACUGCAGUGGGAUGGGGCUGGCAGCAACUCCAUUCACAGGCAUUCUGUUUCCCACCACGGCCCCUCAUUAGAUCCCUGGCCUCUCAAAAGAGUGUUAAGGCUCUAAAACUAUACCAGGAAGUAUAUUUUUGCAAAACCAAAUGGGCUCUAAGUAAUUAGUUUUCAAAAUUCUCCAGUGUAUUGUUUUGGACUUAUGUUUCAGACUGGUGAUAAAAUUUCAGCACCUCACAACACCAUGACACGGCAGGGCAGAAGGAAACCCUCUGCCGGGAAGCAGAUGACCUGGACGUCAGCCCCAGCUUUGCCAUUAACUGGCUCCUCAAGCCAGGGCAAGUCAGUUUCUUCUGACACAAAAUGAGGGGUUUAGAUGAAAUGGUCCAUAAAGUCUCUGCCUAUUUUAAAAUACUGUAAUUAAUCAACAUUUGAACAUGUAUACCUGUCAUUUACAAAUGUCCAUGCCAUUUGAACCAACUUUUGAAUUUUGUUUUUAUCACCUAGAAAUGGGGACAAAAAGGUAAAUUAAUAGCAAUAGAAAAAUUCACAGGCAGCAUCAAGUAUUUAUUAAAAACCUACCACGUGUUCAGCACCACUCAAAUACACAGCAAAGAGCUUUUGCGUGGGAAACAAGGAUGAAUGAUGUGGGUCCACAUCCUACCCCUUCUUCCUCCUCAUGACCUACGCUGAACCACCAUGUAUGGAAAACCUGGCUCCAAGGCUAAGUUUAUUAGUCCAUUUAAAAAAUUCUGCCUCAUUUUCCUGCCUCUCCCAUCACUUGGCAACUGGAUGACAGAGCCUGUUUAUACAUAAAAGGAAACAGCAUUAGCAGCUGCAAUGCUGAAUUGACUGAGCAAGCCAUGCCCUUGGUAUUUCACACAUCAAACUUUGUUUUCCGCUUUUGAGAAGCGUAAUUUGAGUGUCAUCAAAUUAUAAAGACUUGAUUUCAGAAUGAAAAAAUUCUUCUGAAAACUUUCUUCUUACCUUUGAGUUGCUUUGCAUAUUUUAGUAGGAACUGGUAUGGAUGUUCUACCUGUAAAUCAAACUUGAUGGUCUGCAGUAAGAUUCUCUCCAGAACCAUUACUUCCUCCUAAAAAUCAAUCACAAAUGUUAGGACAGUAAUUACAAUUGCAGGUCUCAAGCAGCAUUACAAAAGUGAGCUUUCCUGUCUAUUUAUUCUCUCUUCAAGUUAUAUUUUAGCAACUGCCUUUCCUUCCUUUCUCUCCCACUCAGACUUUUAACAUGCUCAGAGACACUGAUAAAUUCUGAAAAGAUCUCAAACAGGAAGACAAAGCAGAGGUGUAAUGUAAAAAAAAAUACUGAAAACAAAAGAUCCUUAAAAAUAUUAUUAUUUUCAAUACAUACAUGAGUCUCCCUUUACAAAACAGAUCUUUACGUUAUUGAUAAUUUGACUAAAUUGUAAUUUCUUUCAAGACCUCAAAUUUUAAAAAUGCAAUCUUUUAGGAAUUUUCAUUGAAAACAUUUUAAGCAAGAAAGAGUUUAUGAUAGCCAGCCUCAUGAAAACUCAGAGAUAAAUUGUACCAGUGUGUGUGUAUGUGUGUGUAUAUAUACUCAUGUACACAUAUAGUGUAUUACGUGCAAAUGGGGGCAAAUCAAUUUUGUGUUUAAAUCUUUCAUUUAUUUGAAAUAAAUCAUCCCAACAACACUUACUGAAU